UGGGGAAUAUUGGACAAUGGGCGCAAGCCUGAUCCAGCCAUGCCGCGUGAGUGACGAAGGCCUUAGGGUUGUAAAGCUCUUUUGGCGGGGAAGAUAAUGACGGUACCCGCAGAAUAAGCUCCGGCUAACUUCGUGCCAGCAGCCGCGGUAAUACGUAGGGACCAAGCGUUGUUCGGAUUUACUGGGCGUAAAGGGCGCGUAGGCGGCAAUUCAAGUCAUCUGUGAAAUCUCCGGGCUUAACUCGGAACGGUCAGAUGAUACUGCUUUGCUAGAGUGCAGAAGGGGCAAUCGGAAUUCUUGGUGUAGCGGUGAAAUGCGUAGAUAUCAAGAGGAACACCUGAGGUGAAGACGGGUUGCUGGGCUGACACUGACGCUGAGGCGCGAAAGCCAGGGGAGCAAACGGGAUUAGAUACCCAAGUAGUCCCUGAGCGGGCUGGCAAGGCGCAU
rnacentral:rRNA from 1 species